UACGUAGGGUCCGAGCGUUGUCCGGAAUUAUUGGGCGUAAAGAGCUCGUAGGCGGUCUGUCACGUCGGCUGUGAAAACCCGGGGCUCAACCCCGGGCCUGCAGUCGAUACGGGCAGACUAGAGUGCGGUAGGGGAGACUGGAAUUCCUGGUGUAGCGGUGAAAUGCGCAGAUAUCAGGAGGAACACCGGUGGCGAAGGCGGGUCUCUGGGCCGUAACUGACGCUGAGGAGCGAAAGCGUGGGGAGCGAACAGG
rnacentral:rRNA from 1 species